GAUGAACGCUGGCGGCGUGCCUAAUACAUGCAAGUCGAGCGAACGGACGAGAAGCUUGCUUCUCUGAUGUUAGCGGCGGACGGGUGAGUAACACGUGGAUAACCUACCUAUAAGACUGGGAUAAUUUCGGGAAACCGGAGCUAAUACCGGAUAAUAUUUUGAACCGCAUGGUUCAAAAGUGAAAGACGGUCUUGCUGUCACUUAUAGAUGGAUCCGCGCUGCAUUAGCUAGUUGGUAAGGUAACGGCUUACCAAGGCAACGAUGCAUAGCCGACCUGAGAGGGGGGUCGGCCACACUGGAACUGAGACACGGUCCAGACUCCUACGGGAGGCAGCAGUAGGGAAUCUUACGCAAUGGGCGAAAGCCUGACGGAGCAACGCCGCGUGAGUGAUGAAGGUCUUCGGAUCGUAAAACUCUGUUAUUAGGGAAGAACAUAUGUGUAAGUAACUGUGCACAUCUUGACGGUACCUAAUCAGAAAGCCACGGCUAACUACGUG
rnacentral:rRNA from 1 species